GCUCGACGCACCCACCUCGCUCGAGGUUGGGCGAGCGCGGAAGUAGAGUUCGGGACGGCGGAUCGGAAUCCAUCGACCGAUUCUCUCUUUCUCUCCUCUCCCUUGGAUUCCUGUAGGCGGUGGAUCAAUCUUGCCUUCGUGGUGGCGGCAGAACGAGCGCCGUGAGAUCAGGUGGACCUGCUUCUGAUUCCUCCUGGUGCUUGGGACGUUUUCGGCUAGAUUGAUUUACUAGCUACGUCCAAGCAGGCCACUGGAUUGAUUUCAUGAGGCUUACUAGCUACGUCCCAAUCAAGAUAGCUAGACUUACUAGCUACGUCCCAAGCAGGCCAAUCCAAUAUGUUGAUCAAUUUGAUUGUUCUGGCUGGAGGUCAGGAGGUCAGAAGGUGCGUCCUUCACACUAAAUCGUACCCGAAGUUCUACAAUUAGCGCUAAAAUGUAGAUGUUAUGAUGACCAAUGACCAUAAACUUUUCUCAAGAAAUCUGGAAAGAAGCGAGGAUUCUCAAGUAAGAUAAGUCUGCUUACAAAAAUUUGCCUACUGGAAAGUAGAUAAGAGACUCAUGAAGUAAGAAUACAUGCCUACAUAUUAUACAUAGCAGGCUUCUGACUUCUCUGAUUCUGCAAGCCUUGAGGCUGUGAAACAUCUAUGCUAGGUCGCCACACUUCUGCCACCUUCAUUUGAUGAGGUUCAGCGUUCACUACUAUGAAAGAAGAAGGCAUAUAUUUUCCUUGUGGAAUUUCCAGUAGAAUGGCAGUGAGAACGAGUAAAGAUCUACAACACGUAAUACAUUAUUUUGAAGCUACAUGGAAAGCAAAUAUGACUGUAUGGUUCUCACUCAAAGUAGAGGCCCAACAAACUUUUUUGAAGUAGGAGUCAAAAACUACAAAUCCAUCUAUUCCUAGAAUGGAGCUGGUUGGAGUUGAGCCUAUAAUUGAGCGGGUAGUUCGGUGGCACCGACAUCCAACUGAAAGUUUUAUAGGAGGGUUAGUAAAGCAAAUUUGUUCAUGAGGAAAUGUGCCAGAAAAACAUUGAGUCAGAGUGCAA